rnacentral:rRNA from 1 species
CAGCAGCCACGGUAAUACAGAGGGUGCGAGCGUUAAUCGGAUUUACUGGGCGUAAAGCGUGCGUAGGCGGCUUCUUAAGUCGGAUGUGAAAUCCCUGAGCUUAACUUAGGAAUUGCAUUCGAUACUGGGAAGCUAGAGUAUGGGAGAGGAUGGUAGAAUUCCAGGUGUAGCGGUGAAAUGCGUAGAGAUCUGGAGGAAUACCGAUGGCGAAGGCAGCCAUCUGGCCUAACACUGACGCUGAGGUACGAAAGCAUGGGGAGCAAACAGGAUUAGAUACCCCAGUAGUCCCUGUCUCUUAUAA